rnacentral:antisense_RNA from 1 species
UGUAGGAGUGAGCCUGCUCGCGAUAGCGGUGUAUCAGCCACACAUGAGUCGACUGAUCCACCGCUAUCGCGAGCAGGCUCACUCCUACA